AUCCCUCGUAAUUCGUCUUUAUGGAGGUAUCUACGUCAUCUUUGAACAACAUCACUCCAUAAACAUAGAAAAUCAUUUGUAAACAUACUGAAACAAAUAUCAGCCGGCUAAAAUUUUACAUCAAUUGUAUAUUAAUCAGCUGUCAGAAUAAAUUUCAUCCAUCGAGGAAACCCAUUGAUUUAUAAUUAGAGAGCAGCCUGGAUUAUUCUGAUAUUCUACAUUGUAAUAUUUACAUGAAGACAGAUAGUGGUUAUAACAGUUGUCAUUAGAUUGGGGAUGAAGUAUAACCUGUUUAAAUAAUCAUUCAUUUAGAUUUUUUCUUGGCAGGUAAGAGAGAUUUUUCCAUCUUUUAUAUUAUAUCAUGCUAAUAGUUGGCAUCACUAUUCAGUUUAUUACAAAUUGCACUCACGUGCUUUCAAGCACUUACACUAUCCCUUUGUGAAUGUACAGUUUAUUUUACAUGAAGAUUAAGGAAGUGUAAAAUUUACAAUUUGGUGAUUUUAUAAAUAUAUACACUUCUGUUAAAAAUGUUUAGUUCGCUUUAGAAUUGAAAAAAAAACACCAUUUUUUUUUAAAUAGAAUGUUCAGUCAAUAUAAUUGAUGGAAACAUUAAAUAGAUUUCAAGCUUAAUUAGAAAAGACAUCUAAAGCGCAAUAUUUACCCGCCUGGAAUAAAAUGACAUUUUAAUUUGUAAUUAAUAUGCAAUCGAAUACAUCAAACGAAAAAGCUGAAGAUAUGUAAAACACCCCGCACUAGUCUAUUCUGGUCCAUAUAUAAUGUAAUUCAUGUGUAUAUUCAGCUUCCAUAUAUUCAUAAUAUGUCUGUACCGUUUCAUUAUCAGUACAUGUCUAUACUAGUCCAAAAUAUGUUUAUGUCUGUUUUCUUGAUCUCGUACAUUUAUAUGUAUUCUGCUCCCAUAUACUUGAUAUAUUUAUAUGUCUACUAACAAAACAAAAAAAGUUUUAAAGAAACAAUUGAUUUUAAAAUCUGAUACAGUAGAUAUUUUUUGUUAAAGAUUAUGCAAUGCUUUACUUUCUACAUUUGGUAGAGGUAUAGGGGAGGGUUGAGAUCUCAUAAACAUGUUUAACUCGCCGCAUUUUUGCGCCUGUCCCAAGUCAGGAGCCUCUGGCCUUUGAUAGUUUUAUUAUUUUUAAUUUUAGUUUCUUGUGUAUAAAUUGGAGUUUAGUAUGGCGUUUAUUAUCACUGAACCAGUAUAUAUAUUUGUUUAGGUGCCAGCUGAAGGACGACUCCGGGUGCGGGAAUUUCUCGCUGCAUUGAAGACCUAUUGGUGACCUUCUGCUGUUGUCUGUUCAUGGUCGGGUUGUUGUCUCUUUGACACAUUCCCCAUUUCCAUUCUCAAUUUUAUUGUACAGAUAAGGAGAUCUGAUAUGAUUGCCAGAGUCCGAAUGACAUGGUUUUAAGUAACUCUAAUCAAAACACGGUCUUAAACAAUGCACAGAACCUUUACCUUUUAAAAAAAAACCAACACGACGCUUCAGAUGUUGGAUAUACAUUUUCAGUUGUAGCUUUUAUAACAGUCGGGGAUAAGUGGAUAUUUAAUUUUUGCAAUCAACUGCUACAGGUUUGAACCUAGAUCCAAGCAAUUUUACAAAAUUCACAAAUUGUGAAGUUGUUCGUUUGCUAUUAUGGAAAUGUUUUAGGAUUUUUUUAAUUUAUUUUUUCAAACUUUCAAACUCAGUUAUUUUUUGUUCCAGUUUUGUGCAAUCAACUACUGUCUCUUUUUCCUAAAACUUCACAGUGCGAUUGCUCAAAUAUUGAAGUUGUUCACUUGCUAUAAUAGAAUUACUUUAGAAAUAUUUUCAAAUAUUUAAAGUUGAGUAUAGAAUAUUCUUCAUUGUUUCAGAAAUUUUCCUCGCAGCCUGACAAUUUGAUUUUUAGCUCACCUGGCCUAAAAGGCCAUGUGAGCUUUUCUCAUCACUUGGCGUCCGUCGUCGUCGUCGUCUGUCGUCGUUAACAAUUUUUCAAACAUCUUCUCCUCUGAUGAAACUACUGAAUGGAUUUGAAUGAAACUUAAAAUGAUUGUUCCUUAGAUUAUCCUGAAACAAAGUGUGUGCUUCGAUUUUUGAUCCGUCAAAAAACAUGGCCGCCGUUACUUAAAAUAGAACAUGUAGGUCAAAUGCAGUUUUUGGCUUAUAUCUCAAAAACGGAAGCAUUUAGAGCAAAUCUGACAUGGGGUAAAAAUGUUCAUUAGGUCAAGAUCUAUCAGCCCAGAAAUUUUCAGAUGAAUCAAACAAACCAUUGUUGGGUUGCUGCCACUUAAUUGGUAAUUUUAAGGAAAUUUUGCAGUUUUUGGUCAUUAUCUUGAAUAUUAUUAUAGAUGAAGAUAAACUGUAAACAGCAAAAAUGAUCAGCAAAGUAAGAUCUACAAAUAGGUUAAUAUGACCAAAAUUGUCAAUUGACCCCUUAAGGGGUAAAUGUCCUUUAAUGACAAUUUUUCACAAUUUGUUCAUCAUAUUUGCUAACUUUAAAAAAUCUUCUCCUCUGAAACUACUGAAUGGAUUUGGAUGAAACUUAGCAUGAUAGUUCCUUAGAUUAUCCUGCACAAAGUGUGUGCUUCGAUUUUUGAUCCGUCAAAAAACAUGGCCGCCCUUACUUUAAAUAGAACAUAGGGGUCAAAUGCAGUUUUUGGCUUAUAUCUCAAAAACGAAAGCAUUUAGAGCAAAUCUGACAUGGGGUAAAAAUGUUCAUUAGGUCAAGAUCUAUCAGCCCUGAAAUUUUCAGACGAAUCAAACAAACCAUUGUUGGGUUGCUGCCACUUAAUUGGUAAUUUUAAGGAAUUUUUGCAGUUUUUGGUCAUUAUCUUGAAUAUCAUUAUAGAUAAAGAUAAACUGUAAACAGCAAAAAUUAUCAGUAAAGAAUAUAUAUUUGUAAUAUUGAAGAAUUGUUAGCUGUACAUGUUUGCCUGGCAUGGUUCAAUAUGUUCAAUAAGGCAUUGUUUACCAGGUGAGCGAUUCAGGCUCUUGAGAGCCUCUUGUUUUUAAUCUAUUUUAUUCAGACGUAGACUAUAACCAUUCUGUUUAAUAUGGUUUCUGUCCGUUUGACUCUCUCUUAAUUUUUCUUCACGAUAGAAGGAUAUUUUCUGAUUCAUCCCACUACUCUUCUGGAUAUGUUGUUCAAUUCACUUUGUUGACACCUUUCUCUACUUUGAUCGCACAUGUAGACUUUAGUGUUAUCAAGCAGCUGUUUUCACUACAUCAACACUGCGAUUUUGUAAGAUUAAUUGAAAAUAACUAAGUGAUAAUUUACUUUUUUCAGGUUUGGCAUAAACCAUAUCUUUGAAUAACUGAUUUUGUUUUUAUAUCAAUUAAUACAUUUUAGAAUGUUUUAAAGAUAUUUAUAGUUUAUAUACACAGAUCAAUGUAAUCUCUCCCUCUCUCCUAAAAUUCUUUUAUUUGUACUAUACGUUUUCAAUUUCAAAUGUUAAAAAUAUGUAUAUAAAAAAGAACAAUGUUAAUUCGCACAACCAAAUUAACACAUGGUUCUUCUGGUAGUAUUCCACAAUCUGACACUCUCCGUAGUUGCGUUGAGUCUGAUUAAAUAGAGACAUCUUUUAAGGGAAUCUUCCUCUCUCUCCUAUGGAACAAUAGUAUAAUGAAUAUUAUGUUGGUCUUGGUACCGCUUCACACCGAAUUAAAAUAUUUUGAUUAGCUAUUUUUUAUUUGUAGAAAAAUAAAAUGGCAAAACACUUUCAUUAUCUGUCUGAUAUCAAUUUUCAUUGGAUAGACCUGACACUUGCUCAUGUAAAGAAUAUAUGGCCGAAAAUGCACUAACAGGUGGUGUGAGAAAUACUUCAAACAUUUUCAUUAUCUUUUCCUGUCUUCUUUCCAUUCGUUUUUCCCCAAAAUGUUAUAUCGGUCAAGGUUUUAUAACAAGCAGUUUCUUACAGACUGGAAAAAGGCUAAGCGAUCUUUUUCGCUAGCUGUUUCAAUUGCCUCAUUUUCACCCGGAUUUUGAUAACCCUCUUUGUUAAUGAACUAUGGCUCAUGUUGGUCGUCGUGAUUCCCUGCUUUGUCGCUUUGUUUAUUCGGUGUUGCCGCAUUAAACCGGUCAAGUUCUUUGUUUCUAACAUUUCUAAAGAAAGCAGCCCUUUUUUCUCCACUCGCUGUUUCUUAGUUAUUGUUAUUGCUUUAGUAACCCACGGUCUGUAAAGUUCUGUAUUUUUAAGUCUUUUAAUGAAUUUAAGGAAGCGGCUUUUCUCUGUCAUUUCUCUUUCUGUAUGUCUCCAGUUUCAUCUUAUAUAUGUUCGUCUAGUUUUGUUGAUCGAACAAUAUAUCUUUUUCUCAUUCGCUGGAGGUAGCCUACAAUUCAGACAGUGUAUACACCCACUCAGGUUAAGUUCAAAAUUCGACUUAUCUUCAUCCAUAGCUGUAAAGGACACAAAAAUGUGUAAUAUAGGACCAGGGCUUGGAAUCAUCAAACUGGAAUCGGUUCUCAUACUAGUAGCUCAAAAAUGUUGCCCGAAAUGAAAUCCAGAAUUGUAAUUUGGAGUACGAAAAAACUAACUCAAAAGUUUUAUGACCGAUAGGUCAGGUUGGCGACAAUAAUUACUAUACUUGCUUUAUACAAAGACCAGGAUAUUGGUUUUGUCGUACGGGUUGAUUUACAUUUAUUUCGAGGCGACAGGUGCCACAUGGUGAACAGGAUCUGCUAACCCUUCCGGGGCACAUGUGAUCACCCCCAGUCUUCAGUGGGCAUCGUGUUGCUCAGUCUUAGUUUUCUAUUUUGUUUCUUGUUUACUAUUAUUUGUCUGUUUGUCUCUUUCAUUUUUAGCCAUGGCGUUGUCAGUUUAUUUUAGAUUUAUGAGUUUAACUGUUCCUCUGGUAUCGUUCGGUCCUUUAUUAUAGCUUGCUAUAAUGGGGUAUUGGUUUUGCUCAUUGAUAAAUCCAAAUAUCUCUCUGUAUCCCUUGGACUUAAUAAUGUUUUUACACUUCAACAUAUUGUCAACCAAAUAUCUCUCUGUAUCCCUUGGACUUAAUAAUGUUUUUACACUUCAACAAAUGUCAACCAAAUAUCUCUCUGUAAUCCCUUGGACUAAUAAUGUUUUUUCACUUCAACAAAUUGUCAACCAAAUAUCUCUCUGUAUCCUUGGACUUAAUAAUGUUUUUACACUUCAACAAAUUGUCAACCAAAUAUCUCUCUGUAUCCUUGGACUUAAUAAUGUUUUUUACACUUCAACAAAUUGUCAACCAAAAUAUCUCUCUGUAUCCCUUGGACUUAAUAAUGUUUUACACUUCAACAAAAUUGUCAACCAAAUAUCUCUCUGUAUCCCUUGGACUUAAUAAGUGUUUUUACACUUCAACAAAUUGUCAACCAAAUAUCUCUCUGUAUCCCUUGACUUAAUAAUGUUUUUACACUUCAACAAAUUGUCAACCAAAUAUCCUCUCUGUAUCCCUUGGACUUAAUAAAUGUUUUUACACUUCAACAAAUUGUCAACCAAAUAUCUCUCUGUAUCCCUUGGACUUAAUAAUGUUUUUACACUUCAACAAAUUGUCAACCAAAUAUCUCUCUGUAUCCCUUGGACUUAAUAAUGUUUUUACACUUCAACAUACCAAAUAUCUCUCUGUAUCCCUUGGACUUAAUAAUGUUUUUACACUUCAACAUACCAAAUAUCUCUCUGUAUCCCUUGGACUUAAUAAUGUUUUUACACUUUAACAUAUUGUCAAGUAUUAAAAAUCCCUCAUUUAUAGAUUAAUUGUUUCUCUUUUGCAGCAACUUAAUUCUUUACAUUACACCUAUAGACUCACAGACAGAAGAAACAUACCGUAACGUUUUAAAACUGCUACAUUGAGUGUGCCUGUUCGAAGUCAGAAGCCUCUUAAUCUGUAGUUGUCUUUUGUUCUUUACCAUGAUGCCUAUAAUGUCUUUGUGUUAAAUAAUACGUCCAGUUGUUGUCUCUCUGUCUCACCUGUCACAUGAUUCCAAAUUCCUGCCCAUAUGAUGGCAAAGUAACUGUCGGGAACCUAAAGAACAUCGGUACAUUAAAACAGUAUGGUGAUGCGUCAUAUUUGAUGUAGGGCUUGCUAUCACACAUCUGUUCUACUCGAAUGUAAUAUCGAAAUUAUUAAAUUACGUGGGUUUUUGAUAGUUGAGUGUUAUCAUAACUUUAUAAUUGGUUCUUCCACUGAUUAAGAUAAUAUGAAGAAGAUUGAAUACACACAGCAAUAGCUAUAGCUUAAACCUUCUUCGUGUUAAUGUACCUCUCCCUGUACUAUAGUGGCAAUGGUUGUCUAAGGUAUCAUCAUAUGGAAUGGGAAUCAAUUAUCACUGCAAAGUGAGAACAAAGAAAUACUUCCAAUCUAUAUUGAUUUUUAAUUGUCACUUUGGGAGUUAAUAGUAACAGUCUGUCCACUUUACGGAUCGAUAUCAGGCAAAUCACCCUUGUAUGAAAGCAUGUUCACGAUUUAUCCUGUCUGGGAGGAAGAUUUCCUUGGCAGACUUGUAUCUUGUCUUCACAGUAUCUUACUCAAAUUAAUAAAACAUAUAUGCAAAAACGCAUCAGAGUGAAUUAUACAAUGUUUUUCACAUAACCAUCAAUGAACCAAUAUGUUAUUCAUCGUGACGGUAUCAAGAAAAAAUACGUUUAAAUACACAAAGUGGUGUAUAUGUGUCUGUCACAAGUCAGGAGCCUAUCGCUGGAUUAUGUAUGUCGUAUUAGUUUUUCUUAAAUUGCAGAGUAUAAAUUAGGUCUUUUAGUUUUUUUUCUAACUUGAAUUGUUUCACAUUUUUCCUUAUAGGAGCCUUCUUUAGCUGACUGACUGUGACUUUGAAUAUCAUGGGAGUUCCCCAUCUUUUAAUUCUAUACGGUGACCUUGGUUGACCGUGGUCUCGUGGGCAUGUACCACAUCUUAAUUCUUUCCUUUUUUACUGUUACUGAUAUUCACCAUAAAAUUCAAGUUUUAACAAUUGAUUUUACAUAGAACAUGGAUCAAAUGGGUUUAUUUUCCGUGCAUUUGAUAUCGACCGGUUGUUUUGACAGUGUGAUUUAGCCAAUUUAAAUUUCUUUUGUAACUGGUUGUCAAUGAAACAUUGUAAGAAAAUAUUUAGUACCGCAUUAAAUGUUUUUCAUUACUUCUUUCUUUGUGAAAUGAAUGCAGUGGGACUGUCAUUUAUCUUGGAAAAUAAAAUGAAUGCAUUGCGUCCGAUUUAUAAUCGAAUAAUACAUACUUAUUUUUGUCCCUAGCCAAAAAAAUGUUGCAAGGCAUUCAUGUGUACACUGUGAUUUUUCAAAGAAUGAAAUUGUGUGCCCAUACAAAUACUUCAUCAAGACUUUAUACCUUUUUCAUGGUAUAAACUGUGCCAAUUGAAAUUACAAAUGAAAUUUACGACGGUUUGUCUAGGUUCGUUUUCUAACUUCGUAAAAUACACCCUUGAUUUCCGGUAUAAAUAAAAUGUGUCAAAGAGACAACAACCCUACCAUAGAAAAAACAACAGCAGAAGGUCACCAACAGAUCUUCAAUGUAGCGAGAAAUUCCCGCACCCGGAGGCGUCCCUCAGCUUGCCCCUCAACAAAUACAUACUAAUUUCCUAACAUGAAUUGUUCCUGUCAGACAGUCAGAACAUUUACUACCGAUGCGCUAUUUGGAUAUGCUAGUUGUAGUAAAGCACGUUAAAUAUUAAGCCCACUAUACCCAUGUACAAAUCAAGCGUGGUAGUUUUUGUACAAAGUAGAUUGUUCUUCUCGAAAUGAAUUAAAUUGGUUUCAUGUAAAUAACCAAUAUUUAUCUUGAUCUUUAUUGAAACACGGAUUGUUUCAUAUUAAGCCAGUUAUCAGGAACAUCAUCCUAUCUUUUCAAUAAGUGUUGAACAUUCCAAUACUUGAGAGAUGGAUAACAAUACAAAUAUCACUUAGGUAUUUUAUGGAGAUCUUCGUCGUCUCGUGGAAUGUUUUAAAUUACACUCUCUGUACAAACAUCUUAAUAUAAAUGACUGCAAUAAAUGAAUAAUGUAAAUAUAUCUAAUAUGAUAAAUAUGAUAAAUGUAAUUUGACCCAACUUUUGUUUAUAAUUUGUAAGUGGACGUUAAGUGUAAAGACUUGCCACACUUCAUAUACAGGCAGUGCACGAAACAAGGUUUGUUCGAUUCUAUUGACUUUUGUAAUCAACAUUUUUGUUAAACAUUUUAAGCCCAAAGAUUUUAAACUAUGAACUUAUAACCCCUAAAUUAGGCAUUAUCUAUGUUGCAAUGUCAGGUUUAGUAUUUUAUUUUUACGUAUAAAUAAUUUUGGCCACAUUCCCUUAUCCAGAAAUUUAUAGAUAAAUGUAUAUAGGGUUUUACCAUAAUUAUUGUCAAAUGUUGGUCAGUUUGGAUCGUAGGUUGUUAACAAGGUUUUCCUGGUGCGAUUAGGUCACUAAAAUGCAUAAAAUCUCCUGAAAACGUCCACCUCAAAAUAUGCUGACUAAGAUCUUAUGAAGUCAUUAGAUAUAUGUUCAAGAACCAAAGAGAGGCUAUUUUCAUAUUUAUGACAUAGUUACAUGUAAAACACGAGCCCAUAUUUCGGAAAAGUGAAGCUGGUCUUUUUAAUUUUUUGGUUUUUUUCUUUUCAUUUUUUUUUUAACGUUUUCAACGUAAAAAGAGUGAAAGAGAAAAAUGUAACCAAUUUAAUAAGAAUAAAUGUUUCAGUAUAGCAUUAAACCUUAUUCUUGGUUCACAUAGUAUCAUGCCUUGAUGGUAACUAGCUGCACCUCCUGUCUAAAACAGCCACCUCAUACACGGAUAGCAUAUUUUCUGCAUGUGUGUUUAACUCAUAUUCAAAAUGUUUGUAUCAUAAAUACAUGUAUACAAUCAUAUAUACUUGAUUCAAAUGCCAGACAGCUUAUAAUUGAUUGCUAUAAAAACCUUUGCUCUUGAAUGUUACACAAGAAACACGUGUUACGCACGCUGAAAUUAUAUCACUUAUACAGCUUUUAUAUUUAAAAUAUACAUUAUAACAAAUAGGCAAUCCAAAGUGUACAUUAUACUCAUGUAUCUUUUAACUAAUUGUUCAAGGAACAGUAAUUGGAUGAAGGAAAUAAAAAAACAAAAUUUGCCAUAUGAAUGCAUAUGUUUCCAAUCACUAUAUACAAAACAUCCGCGUUGUUUCUCGCAUAUAUCAUUUUUUUAAAAAGGAACCUAACCUUUCGAAUAAUCAAGGUAUUACCUGUUGCUAAUGUCAUUUCUAUCAGAAAUUUACAAGUUAAAGGUCUAAAAAUCCUCAUUAAACUUAAAUUUAAAUAUGAAAUGUGGAUAUCAAUAAAUAUGCACUUUAAUACUAUGUGUCACGGCCUAUUUGUUUAUCCGGGGGAUACAUUGAUUUAUAAUUAUUCAUUGGAUAGGUCCCGACUAGAAACAGAUGUGCGUUCGAUGAAUGGUAUCGAGAAGGCAUCGGUUAAAUAUUUAGAAGAUUGAUCCCGGGAUACUUAAUAGCGCAUCAUCUGUUGUAGAAAUGUUUUUAUAGAUUACAAUGUUAACUGACAUCAUUACAUAGGCUUAAGUAUGUAAGGCUUUAUGUCAGGCUUUAAUCUUCUCAUGCACGGAAUAAUCAUGAAAGGUAUGUUUACUGUUAUGCUUUAUUAUAUUCACUUUCAAAUUUUGUUUUUUUUUUUCUUUAAGAUGAUUUUUCAAUUAGACAAAUACACUAUUUCUGUUCCAAUUUUUAUGACCAUUAAGUAAUUUUUAUAUCAAUAUUUUGUAAAAUCAGUUUACAAUUUGACGCUUGUUGGUGUGAAAUAUUUAGCACAGAAAAAAGUCUGUCAUUAAUGAAUUGGCAAGGCAUUUUAAUAACUUGUGUAAUAAUAUCCGGAUUUUAACACUUGGGAGAUGUGUUGCUGCUAUCACAGCGUUAUUGGUCGUAUUUCAAUUAUAAUAGUAUUCAGUGGUGCACGAAAUGUGAUUCUGUUAUUAACUGCAGUAGUACGAAUUAAAAUUGAGAACGGGAAUAGGGAAUGUGUCAAGGAGACAACAACCCGACCAAAGAGCAGACAACAGCUGGUGGCCACCAAUUGGUCUUCAAUGCAGCGAGAAACUCUCGCACCCGGAGGCGUGUUUUAUCUGGCCCCUAACAAAAAUGUAUACUAGUUCAUUGAAAAUGGACGUCAUUACUAUACAAGAUUAACAAAGGCAAGAGGCUCCUGACUUGGAACAGGCGCAAGAGAGAGAUUGUCGUACUCACAAAUUCCAUAUAUAAAUUUCAUAAUGGAAAUUGGGAAUGUGUCAAAGAGACAACUACCCGACCAAAGAACAGACAACAACAGAAGGUCACCGAUCGGUCUUCAGCACAGCGAAAAAAAUCCGUACGCGAAGGCGUGCUUCACCUGGCCUAUAAACAAAAAUCUGUACUAGUUCCAUAAUGGACGUCAUACUAAACUCCGAAAAAUAUAUAUGAACUAAAAUUAAAAAUCCUACAAGACUGACAAAGGCCAGAGGCUCAAUACUUGGGACAUGCGCAAGAAUAUGGCGUGGUUAAUCAUGAUUUGUUAGAUCUCUACCCUUUCCUAUACAUCUAGCCAAUGUAGAAAAAAAUCUCAGUUUAAAUAAAGUCCGAGUCUAAUGUCAGAAUAGGUUACAAAAGAAACUAAAACUUGAAAAUGACAAUGAUACAUACAUUAACAAACGACCAAUAACAGUACUGACAUGCCAGCUUCAGAUCUCAAUUAAACUGAUUGAUAGAGUAUGUCUUUAUCAUAUGAAUAGAAGUCAAUAUUAGUUUGUCAACAUCGUGUGAAUUUUAAAAAUUUUGAAACAAAAUAUGAAGAUUUUUUUAUAGCAAAAUCGUUCAGUUCGGAAUAAUCUUGAUCUACCUCUUUGACUGUUGUAACGAUAAGGACUAGAGUCGUUAAUGUUGUAGAAAGGCUUUUGUGUUUAAAGAUUCCCCUGAAACGAAUGCUUAAUCUAAACAGCUAGAAGAUAAAACCAAUCUAUCUUCAUCUGCCUAAAGUAAACAAACGUUUGUAUGAUUUGCAGAGGGAAACUCUAUAAAAUUAACUAUCUCAAAUUUUACACUUGUAUAAAUCAUGCCAGAAAUCUGAUUAAUAUGGUGGUAUAAACAAAAUAAAUGUUUCUUGUUUUCCUUAAGAUCUUGUACAAACUUAAGUUUUAUCUGAAAAGUAAAAAAAAAAUGUUUGUGGUUGCCAUUUGUUGUGGCUGCAUCAUUCUGUUUGUUCUGAUUAUCUCUAGAGUUUCGUAUGAUAUAAGCUCACAGAUAUUUAGAUCAGAUACUUGUAUGCCAACGUAUUAUGUGAUUUAUAUGAACUAGAACAAAACUUUCGUUAUUAAUAAAGCCGCUAUAUUUCUUGUUUGAACUGAUUCAUACUAUUAGUAUAUAUUGAAUAUGGAAUUUAAAAGUGCAAUAUUAUAGAUAUUUGUCGAAUUUAGGAAGUUAAAAACAACUCUUUGUUCAAUUAGUUUUAAAAAACCAAAGCCCCUUAAAUAAGUAAAGUAUCCCCUUUUCUGGAGAGAGUUUACUACAAUUCCAAAAAAUUUCUUUUAGAAGAAUUUCUUAUAAUUGUACUGGAGAUAAUAAUCUUUAAAAUCUCCAAUUAUCAUGGUUAUGGUUGAUUUGCUCAGUAUGACUGGUAAUCAUGGAUUUCUGGUUAAUUUACUUAUAGAUUCAGUUAAAAUUAUGCGAAACAAAAUUUAACAUACAAUUACUAACGAAAUGAUUUUGAUAACAACACAAAAACAGUGUUCUAUGGCAAUAAUAGAAAGUAUUGGAGACACUAUAUAAUAUAAAAUAGGUUAACUCUGAACUUCAGCUGUUCCUUUAACUAAAAUGUAUUAUUUGUCUGUACUUGUCUUUUUCAUUUUUAGCCAUGGCGUGUCAGUUUGUUUUCGAUUUAUGAGUAUGACUGUGCCUCUGGUAUCUUUCGCCCCUCUUUUAGUAUAGUUCUAACACAAACCCUCAGAACGUAGAAAUCUCAGUUUACAGGUGUUAUGAUAUGGGAGAUGUACCUUUGUAAAGGGAUUUUAAUUUAUAUAUAUAUAUAUAUAUAAUACCCUCUCUUCCUUUGUAUCAAAAGUAGAAAUAGUACAUUAUAAGACUCGCACUACGAGAAAGUAGUUCCUUAAACUCCCUGUAAAUUUUAGUUGUCGUUUCUAAGUAUUUGUGAAAAAGGUAUAACACAUUACUUUGGUUACAUGUUACUCUAUCAGGUACACAUGUUUUCAAUGUGUUUAAAAUUAAAUAUUAUUUUCUAUACGUAGUUUUUAUAGUAAAAAUCAUUAAAUUUGCAUUAUAAUAAUACAUGCAUCGUAUCGAAUGCAUAUUUUAGAUGUCAUUUAUGAAAAUAAGUCUAAAACUGUUCCGCAUCACAAGCUAUGUAUGGUCGAAACAUGCGCCAUUAAAUUGCAAAACUGUUAAGAUUAAAAGAAAUUAGAAAAAAAACAAGCUACCACAAGCUGUCAUCGAGACUAUAAAUACUCAUCAAAGGUACCAGUACACAAAGUGCACGUUUCGUAUUCCAAAAACACUCACCAGUUACACUCAAAUCAAAAGAAUGUAAAUAAACUUAAAAUAAAUUUUAUUGCAAAUUUUAAAUAUCUUUUCUUUUUAAAGGAAAGAGCUGUGUUCUUAUAAAAAACAAGGAUACAUGGUAUGAUUGCCAAUAAGUACAUUAUUACAUUGUGAUUUUUUUUUCAAACAGGAUGUUUCAAUCACUUAGCGCAAAUACAUUUGCUAUAUUUUUAGCUCACCUGGCCCAAAGGGCCAAGUGAGCUUUUCUCAGCACUUGGCGUCCGGCGUCCGUCGUCCGUCGUCUGUCGUCCGUCGUCCGUCGUCGUCUGGCGUCGUUAACUUUUACAAAAAAUCUUCUCCUCUGAAACUACUGGGCCAAAUUUAACCAAACUUGGCCACAAUCAUCAUUGGGGUAUCUAGUUUAAAAAAAUGUGUGUGUCUGGUGACCAAGUCAACCAACCAAAAAUGAUGGCCGUAAAUGCGCACCACGGCUAAAAUAGAACAUAGGGGUAAAAUGCAGUUUUUGGCUUAUAACUAAAAAACCAAAGCAUUUAGAGCAAAUCUGACAUGGGGUAAAAUUGUUCAUCAGGUCAAGAUCUAUCUGCCCUGAAAUUUUCAGAUGAAUCGGACAACCCGUUGUUGGGUUGCUGCCCCUGAAUUGGUAAUUUUAAGGAAAUUUUACUGUUUUUGGUUAUUAUCUUGGAAUAUUAUUAUAGAUAGAGAGAUAAACUGUAAACAGCAAUAAUGUUCAGCAAAGUAAGAUCUACAAAUAAGUCAACAUGACCAAAAUGGUCAGUUGACCCCUUUAGGAGUUAUUGCCCUUUAUAGUCAAUCUUUAACCAUUUUUCAUAAAUCUAAGUAAUCUUUUACAAAAUCUCCACUGAAACUACUAGGCCACAAUCAUCUUUGGGGUAUCUAGUUUGAAAAAUGUGUCCGAUGACCUGGCCAUUCAACCAAGAUGGCCGCCACGGCUAAAAAUAGAACAUAGGGGUAAAAUGCAGUUUUUGGCUUAUAACUAUGAAACCAAAGCAUCUAGAGCAAAUCUGACAAGAAGUUUAAUUGUUAAUCAAGUCAAUAUCUAUCUGCCCUGAAUUUUUCUGAUGAAUUGGACAACUGGUUGUUGGGUUGCUGCCCUCCAAUUGGUAAUUUUUAAAGAAAUUUUGCCGUUUAACUUUUUGGUUAUCUUGAAUACUAUUAUAGAUAGCGAUAAACUGUAAACAGCAAUAAUGUUCAGCAAAGUAAGAUCUACAAAUAAGUCAACAUGACCUAAAUGGUCAAUUGACCCCUUAAGGAGUUAUUGCCCUUUAUAGUCAAUUUUUAACAAUUUUCAUUAAUUUGGUAAAUUUAUGUAAAUUUUUACCAAAUAUAGUUCUCUGUUACUAUUGGGUAAAGUUCAUUAUAGAUAUAAUUGUAAGAAGCAAAAUCGUUCAGUAAAGUAAGAACUUCAAACACAUCACCAUCACCAAAAUACAAUUUUGUCAUGAAUCCAUUUGUGUCCUUUGUUUAAUAUGCACAUAGACCAAGGUGAGCGACACAGGCUCUUUAGAGCCUCUAGUUAUUUUAUUUCACAAUUGCGUGAUUAUUUUUUUUAUUGCGGUCGGUCCUUCAUUGUUAUCAUACUGAAUAUCAAUUUGAAAUAAAAUUGAAAAUGGAAAUGGGGAAUGCGCCAAAGAGACAACAACCCGACCAUAGAGCAUACAACAACAGAAGGUCACCAACAGGUCUUUUUAAAUGCAACGAGAAAUUCUCGCACCCGGGGGCGUCCUUCAGCUGGCCCCUAAACAAAUAUAUACUGGUUCAGUGAGUAUGAAAGCAUAUAUUUAUAGUAAUUGAUGCUUUGUUGAUUUGUUUGUCACAGUUAUUACGUAUUCCAUGUAAUCACUAUUUUCACUAUUUAAUAAAAUAUAUGCAAUACUGAACACAUAAUAUCUAAAAUGCACCGUAGUCACUUGUAAUUCCGCCCAUUGACAUUUGGUGAAUACAAGUUUAAUAUUACAGAUUUUGGAAUUAAAAUUCCUUUUAGUUGACAGUUAUUUCCCUUCAUUACUUAUAUUUAUGGAUGUAGCUAGGCAUGUUGAUCCGAAUACGUUAUCUAGAAUUCAAAAACGUUAUUUUCGGAAAUGCAACGAAGAUAAAGGUUGCUUUACCAUGUAAUUGGUCCAAAUUGUUCUAAUUUUCUAGAAAACGACCAUUAAGAUGCUGGAUAUAUUUGCCUUAAGUGGAAUCAAUGUCUGAAAUGGACGAUUUACUACUACACGUGUGGGAGUCAUAAUUCUAUGAUCCGUAUUCCAGUAUUGUCAUAGAAAUUGAACAUACAUGCCUACAAUGAAAUAUUAAAAUCUUUAUAUUCUCUCUUCAAUAACAUUCCAUUAUUUUGUAUGCAAGUUAAUCACGGAGUUAUUCAUGUCAAACUUUGAUGUUUAAUAAGGUGUAUUCGCAAAAAAAUGUGUAUACAGUCGAACCUCUGUAUAAAUGUCACCCGUAGUAUCGUAGCUUAUAAUAGGGGUGGCCUUUAAAUCGAGGUUCAAUAUGUAAAGAUAUACAACAGCCUUAUGAGAAGAGGGUGACAAGUUUUCGCUUAAAAGAGAUGACAUUCAAAGCAGGUUUUAUUGUACUUGCUACAUUACAUCGUCUGCAAGGGGUAACAACAUACAAGAUGAAGUUCUCACAUUUGAUAUUUCACAUUCAUAUAAUUUUCAUUUUUCCAUUAUCGUGAUACUGUUUUCUAUAUUUCAUUGACAACCGUCUACGUUAUUGUUAGUUUACAAAUACUCGUAUGUGGUCUUAGACCUGUAAGAUGGAGAUAGGUGUAGAGAACUAGUAGAAACAAAGAAAGAAUAAGAGAGAUACAACAGGUAUCUCAAAGACAAAUUAGAUAUGACAGACAUAAACAAAUGACAUUUCUAAAAUAAAGGAUGUAUAAUAUUAAAAAGUGUAAAUAAUUUCACUCUUAUCAGCCAUAUGAAAUUGACAAGUUAAUCAUAACAGAAAAAAAGACAAAACAAUUGAUGAAAAUUUUAUUCAUAUGUCUUUCUCAUCAUAUCGAUUACUUAUAAAGAUUCUCUUUGAUUGCAGAUUUGUCGACUGAUGGAUACGUCUUGGGAAUAUAACAUAGUUAUAUGAUCAUUUCUUAUGUUCAUUGUUUGUAAGGAAUAUUGGAGAGCUUGGCUACAAACGGAAAUUAUUUAUUCGAUCUAAUUACCUGUGAAAAUG
rnacentral:lncRNA from 1 species